AUUUGCAAUUUUGCUUAAAAAAUCAGCUAAAAUAUUGAUUAUGAGACUUAUAGAAGUGAACCCUGAACUUGUUGGUCUUUGGUCGUAUUAUUUGAUUUAUUUCAAAGGGAAGUGUUUUAACUGCUUUUAAUCACACUCGGACAUCUUCACAUUAUCUUACCGAACUAUUAAAUAGAUAGCCUGAAGGCUUGGAAUUGUAUUUCGCUUAAAUUGUAAUCUAGCGCAAAUCUUUAUGAUUGUUAAUAUUAAACUCUUGCUUCGUACUAUUGAAUCAGCUAGCUCUUUGCAGGGAUUACUUCAAACUUAGUUUUGCAUCCGAUCCUCAGAUUGUGUAUCUGAUUUAAUUUAUGAGUUCAAACUAUAGUUGCAGAAAACCGAAUUACAAAAAGAAGUAGGAAGGAAACAUGACACUUUUUUAAUGUUUAUAAAAUAGUAAGAUAUCAAUAAAGCGGAACGAGUUUUUGUCUGAUACUACAAAACAAAUUUUAUCGAAAUGAUGAUUUCAGCAUUUUGCAUUGAUAUAAUUUUUGGACAAAAAAGCUUUUUUCCAAUGUUCACAAGUAGAAAUGGUAUCUAUUUGAACGAUAAGUUAAAUUCUUGACAUUAGAUUACUCUCAUAGCAUAAAAAAAUAUUGUAGGAUUUGACAAAUUUAAAGAAAGUUUCCCAAGAGUACUUGAUGCAGUGAAUCUUUGUCAAGUUUAUAUCGUUCACCUGAAGAACGAACAAUAAUUUCACAUAUUCCUUCCUCUUGAAAUCUUGAUCCUACAACUAUUACAAAUGGAUAUCCAAUCAACUCAGCAUCUCUCAUUUUAUAUCCAAAAGCUCUAUUUUGUCUGUCCUCCAACAGCACAUUAUCAAAGCCUACAACGUUAGCCGUGGCAUCGUAAACCGUUUCAGCGCUCUGAAUAUGAUUAUCAGAAGUAGGAACAACUAGUACUUUCCAAGGAGCUAUCGACGAUGGCCACACUAAACCCUUUGCAUCUUUGGUUACAUGAGCGACUGCAGCUAUAAGUCUUGAAACACCGAUUCCAUAACAUCCCAUAUGAAGGACUUCCUGUUUGUUUUUUACUUCUACCGUUGCAUUAAAUUUGGAGGAAUAAAUUUUUCCAAGAUAGAAGGCAUGUCCUACUUCAAUCGCGGUAGUUGAAGUUAGCUGAUCAUUGCAAUUAGGGCAUGAAAUAUCACUGGAUGUUUUAGACAAAUCAAGCAUUUCGGAAUUUGUUGAAUAAUGACAAGACGGACAUGUAUAGAUUACAUCUUCUCCCACAGGGUGUCGAUAAUGAAAUUCGUGUGAUAAGUUUCCUCCAAUAUUACCCGUAGCAGCUUUCACCAUCACGAAUGGCAAUCCCACUUCUUUGAAAAAAGUAUGAUAUGCUUGCAAAACAUCCUCGUAAGUUUUCAUAGCGGAUGCUUUGUCGAUAUCAAAAGUAUAAAGAUCCUUCAUCAUGAACUCUCUACCGCGAAGAAGACCACCUCGCGGACGUAAUUCAUCCCGAAACUUUCGACCUAUCUGGUAAACACGUAUCGGUAAUUGCUUUUGAGAAUCUAUGAUUGUAGCCAUAGUGCGAGUAACAUCUUCCUCAUGGGUAGGAGCAAGGCACAUUUCUCUGUCAUUUCGGUCAUGAAGACGAAAAAGUUCACUUCCAGUCUUUUGCCAUCUUCCACUUUUCUCCCAUAUCUCCUUACUAGAAAGAUGUGCCAAACUGAUCGCUGAAGCACCCAAAGAACGCAUUGAUAUGUGCAACAAGUCACAUAUUUUAUUUUGUACACGCAACCCCAGAGGUAAAUAUUGAAAAAUUCCAGGCAUAGACGGCUGGAUAAACCCCAUAUCUAUAAGUAACUGAUUCGCUGAUUCCGGGACAUUGUAUUUACGUAUCGCUUUCCCUAGCACUUCAAUCGAUGCACGAUUCCUUAAAUGUUG